rnacentral:misc_RNA from 1 species
AAAAAAAGCAACAUUCUUGAGACAAAAAAGAUUCUUGCUUUGAGGAAUUGGUUGCAAAAAUGGCGACAAUCACAGCGGGUAUAAGCCUCAGAGGACCAGUAGUGGGUGGUUACAGGACAUUUGCAGUGACCAAAAGGGCUUUACCCAAGGUGAAAUUCAGCUCAGAGUUGAGUUUUGUGACUUCUCAAUUGAGUGGCAUCAAGAUUUCAAGCACCCAUUUGAGCUCUCCUGCUUCACUUUCUGUUCCUUUCAAGACAGCCCUUCAACCUGUUGCUCGUAGAGUAUGCCCCUUCACUGGCAAGAAGUCCAACAGGGCAAACAAGGUCUCUCAUUCAAACCACAAAACGAAAAAGUUGCAAUUCGUAAACCUUCAAUACAAGAGAAUUUGGUGGGAGGAAGGCAAACGAUUCGUGAAACUGAGGUUGUCAACAAAGGCCAUAAAGACCAUUGAGAAAAAUGGACUUGAUGCUGUAGCCAAGAAAGCUGGGAUUGAUCUCAGCAAGAAGUAGAACCUGGAACCUGAUAGCAUAUUUGUUUGGACACUAAUUUUGAUGCCCUCAAAAACCAUAACUUUAUUUUUUGGCAUUGCUUGUUGAUUUGUAGUUAUAUGUUUUCAUGAUAUUACUCUCCAAGCAUA